rnacentral:SRP_RNA from 1 species
GGACAUGGUGGUGCAUACCUAUAAUUCCAGCUAUCAGGAAAUCUAAGACUGGAAGAUCUUUUGAGCUUUAGAGUUCUGAAAUGCAUUGGCCUAAGCCGAUAUUGGGCGUCCAAACUAAGUAUGGCAUUAAGUAAGGGGGCAACCAAGUUGCCCAAGGAGGGGCACACUGGCCCAGGCAGGAAACAAAGCCAGUUAAAGCUCCCGUGCCAGUAAAAGUGGUACUAGGCCCAUGACUAGGUUCUUGCAGAUCCAGCAUGGUUGAGAGAGGUAGACCCAGUCUUUU